GUCACUCAACAGAGAGGUCAUCUUACUGCUGACCCUUCCCUCCAUCCAACUGGAGCAGGAAAAGUUUGGUCACCCACACAAGCUGGGCAAGAGAAGCUUACUCACCUCUUGUGCACCAGGAAAAUACUCUGCCUCACCCCGGGGAAGUCAUCCAAAUAGCUCUGACCUCUCUGGAUUUCAAGGAAAGCUUCGCAGUACCUGUUUCCUCAUUUCUGCCACUGAUUCUGCAGCUUGAGGGACCAUGGUGAAGGGAGUCACAUGAAAUUUGUUUUGGCGCCGCUGGAUGAAUGGAGGACAGAAGUACUCGGCUCACCUCGCCUCGGUGCCAGCUUCAGCCUUCCUGCAACUCCAUCACCAGCACACAGCUCCCUAAAUGACUGCUCGGGGCCGGGGGCCUUUACUUAUGGGACUCGGGAGCCUCAUCUGCAAUCACCAUUAACCAGAAAAGCUGCACAACCGCUCCUUGCCCGCGGAGUUGUGUGUCCUACAAUAUUCACAGGAACCUAAGGGCUGGAAGAGACUGCACAGGAGAGCUUUCAGAAUAAGGACCAGCUUCAGCUCCUCCCUCUUCCUUUCCCAGGCAAGGUGCUAAUGAACUGUGUGGAGGGAGGCAGGAGCCAGGCCAGUUUCCAGAGGAUGGGGACAGGGAUUUUCAGAGGUGGGUAAUGUCAACAAGAGCCCAGUCACCCACACUCUGGCUAUUAAACAAUCUUGUCGGAAGCCCUUAACUGCUUUAAAA